UUUUUGGUAAGCAGAACUGGCGAUGUGGGAUAGAACCAAACGUAAAGUUAAAGUGCCUAAAAGUACGUUCAUCAGACACCACAAAAGGUGUUGAUUCAUCUUGACAGUUGGACAGUGGCCAUGGAAGUCGGAAUCUGCUAAGGAGUGUGUAACAACUCACCAACCGAAUGAAUUAGCCCUAGAAAAUGGAUGGCGCUUAAACGUAUUACUUAUACUUUACCAUUAAAGUAAAUGCUAAACUUUAAUGAGUAGGAGGGCGUAUGGAUAAUUUAGAAGACUGAUAGUGAUAUUAGUUGGAAUUAUCUUUAGUGCAGAUCUUGGUGGUAGUAGCAAAUAUUCAAUAGAGAACAUUGAAGACUGAAGUGGAGAAAGGUUUCACAUGAACAACACUUGGAUGUGAGUUAGUCGAUCCUAAACGGUGGGUUAACUCCAAAUACAUAGAUACUUGUAUCUUGUACCGUGAAAGGGAAACAGGUUAAUAUUCCUGUACUAUAUCAAGGAGGUAAAAUGGC
rnacentral:rRNA from 1 species